UUCAGAGGUCCCAAGCGUUGUUCGGAUUCACUGGGCGUAAAGGGUGCGUAGGCGGUCGGGUAAGUCUGAUGUGAAAUCUCACAGCUUAACUGUGAAACUGCAUUGGAUACUAUCCGGCUCGAGGAAUGGAGGGGAGACUGGAAUACUUGGUGUAGCAGUGAAAUGCGUAGAUAUCAAGUGGAACACCAGUGGCGAAGGCGAGUCUCUGGACAUUUCCUGACGCUGAGGCACGAAAGCCAGGGGAGCAAACGGG
rnacentral:rRNA from 1 species